rnacentral:rRNA from 1 species
AGGAUCAUCCUUNANUUCCAAUAGACAGCUACUAAGGGCGUACGUGAAUGCCNUGGCGCUGGAAGACGAUGAAGGACGCGAUAAGCUGCGAUAAAGCCUCGGGGAGCUGCAAAUGAGCUUUGAUCCGGGGAUGUCCGAAUGGGGAAACCCACGGCGGGUUAUGCCGCCGUAUCGCCGAGUGAAUCCAUAGCUCGGCGAAGGCAACGGAGGGAAGUGAACCAUCUCAGUACCUCCAGGAGAAGAAAACAAUAGUGAUUCCGCUAGUAGCGGCGAGCGAACGCGGAAUAGCCCAAACCGGGGUGCUUGCACUCCGGGGUUGUAGGGCCUGUUUGGCCGUAAGGCCGACGAGUCACAAACCAGCAUGUUAGUCGAACGACCUGGAACGGUCGACCAUAGACGGUGAUAGUCCGGUAGGCGAAAAUAUGCUGGCUCGUUGGACAGGUUCCUGAGUACCACGGGACACGUGAAAUCCCGUGGGAACCCGCGAGGACCAUCUCGCAAGGCUAAAUACUCUCCAGCGACCGAUAGUGAACCAGUACCGUGAGGGAAAGGUGAAAAGCACCCCUUUUAGGGGAGUGAAAUAGUACCUGAAACCGUAUGCCUACAAGCAGUGGGAGGGCUAUGCAUCUUCGGAUGAAGGCCUGACCGCGUGCCUUUUGCAUAAUGAGCCGGCUAGU